rnacentral:rRNA from 1 species
AGUGAACGCUGGCGGUAGGCCUAACACAUGCAAGUCGAACGGCAGCACAGUAAGAGCUUGCUCUUACGGGUGGCGAGUGGCGGACGGGUGAGGAAUUCAUCGGAAUCUACUUUUUCGUGGGGGAUAACGUAGGGAAACUUACGCUAAUACCGCAUACGUCCUACGGGUGAAAGCAGGGGAUCUUCGGACCUUGCGCGAUUGAAUGAGCCGAUGUCGGAUUAGCUAGUUGGCGGGGUAAAGGCCCACCAAGGCGACGAUCCGUAGCUGGUCUGAGAGGAUGAUCAGCCACACUGGAACUGAGACACGGUCCAGACUCCUACGGGAGGCAGCAGUGGGGAAUAUUGGACAAUGGGCGCAAGCCUGAUCCAGCCAUACCGCGUGGGUGAAGAAGGCCUUCGGGUUGUAAAGCCCUUUUGUUGGGAAAGAAAAGCAGCAGGUUAAUACCCCGCUGUUCUGACGGUACCCAAAGAAUAAGCACCGGCUAACUUCGUG